UUUCCGUAGGUGAACCUGCGGAAGGAUCAUUACCGAGCGAGGGCCCUCUGGGUCCAACCUCCCACCCGUGUCUCUUGUACCUCGUCGCUUCGGCGGGCCCGCCUCACGGCCGCCGGGGGGCAUCUCGCCCCCGGGCCCGCGCCCGCCGAAGACACCCACGAACUCUGUCUGAAGAAUGCAGUCUGAGUGAAAUGAUAAAUUAUUUAAAACUUUCAACAACGGAUCUCUUGGUUCCG
rnacentral:misc_RNA from 1 species